rnacentral:rRNA from 1 species
AUGGCUCAGGAUGAACGCUAGCUACAGGCUUAACACAUGCAAGUCGAGGGGCAUCAGGAAGAAAGCUUGCUUUCUUUGCUGGCGACCGGCGCACGGGUGAGUAACACGUAUCCAACCUGCCCUUUACUCGGGGAUAGCCUUUCGAAAGAAAGAUUAAUACCCGAUAGCAUAAUGAUUCCGCAUGGUUUCAUUAUUAAAGGAUUCCGGUAAAGGAUGGGGAUGCGUUCCAUUAGGUUGUUGGUGAGGUAACGGCCCACCAAGCCUUCGAUGGAUAGGGGUUCUGAGAGGAAGGUCCCCCACAUUGGAACUGAGACACGGUCCAAACUCCUACGGGAGGCAGCAGUGAGGAAUAUUGGUCAAUGGGCGCUAGCCUGAACCAGCCAAGUAGCGUGAAGGAUGAAGGCUCUAUGGGUCGUAAACUUCUUUUAUAUAAGAAUAAAGUGCAGUAUGUAUACUGUUUUGUAUGUAUUAUAUGAAUAAGGAUCGGCUAACUCCGUGCCAGCAGCCGCGGUAAUACGGAGGAUCCGAGCGUUAUCCGGAUUUAUUGGGUUUAAAGGGAGCGUAGGUGGACUGGUAAGUCAGUUGUGAAAGUUUGCGGCUCAACCGUAAAAUUGCAGUUGAUACUGUCAGUCUUGAGUACAGUAGAGGUGGGCGGAAUUCGUGGUGUAGCGGUGAAAUGCUUAGAUAUCACGAAGAACUCCGAUUGCGAAGGCAGCUCACUGGACUGCAACUGACACUGAUGCUCGAAAGUGUGGGUAUCAAACAGGAUUAGAUACCCUGGUAGUCCACACAGUAAACGAUGAAUACUCGCUGUUUGCGAUAUACAGUAAGCGGCCAAGCGAAAGCAUUAAGUAUUCCACCUGGGGAGUACGCCGGCAACGGUGAAACUCAAAGGAAUUGACGGGGGCCCGCACAAGCGGAGGAACAUGUGGUUUAAUUCGAUGAUACGCGAGGAACCUUACCCGGGCUUAAAUUGCAGUGGAAUGAUGUGGAAACAUGUCAGUGAGCAAUCACCGCUGUGAAGGUGCUGCAUGGUUGUCGUCAGCUCGUGCCGUGAGGUGUCGGCUUAAGUGCCAUAACGAGCGCAACCCUUAUCUUUAGUUACUAACAGGUUAUGCUGAGGACUCUAGAGAGACUGCCGUCGUAAGAUGUGAGGAAGGUGGGGAUGACGUCAAAUCAGCACGGCCCUUACGUCCGGGGCUACACACGUGUUACAAUGGGGGGUACAGAAGGCAGCUAGCGGGUGACCGUAUGCUAAUCCCAAAAUCCUCUCUCAGUUCGGAUCGAAGUCUGCAACCCGACUUCGUGAAGCUGGAUUCGCUAGUAAUCGCGCAUCAGCCACGGCGCGGUGAAUACGUUCCCGGGCCUUGUACACACCGCCCGUCAAGCCAUGGGAGCCGGGGGUACCUGAAGUACGUAACCGCAAGGAUCGUCCUAGGGUAAAACUG